rnacentral:rRNA from 1 species
GGACGGGUGAGUAAUGCCUAGGAAUCUGCCUGGUAGUGGGGGACAACGUUUCGAAAGGAACGCUAAUACCGCAUACGUUCUACGGGAGAAAGCAGGGGACCUUUGGGCCUUGCGCUAUCAGAUGAGCCUAGGUCGGAUUAGCUAGUUGGUGAGGUAAUGGCUCACCAAGGCGACGAUCCGUAACUGGUCUGAGAGGAUGAUCAGUCACACUGGAACUGAGACACGGUCCAG